GCCACUAAGCUUCGCUCCUCAGUCACACUCACAGCUCGCCGAGUACUGUCUCCAUUCCAUCAGCGACCGGCGAUACUCUGCUAACAGCUGCCGUUGAUUCAACCGGUGAUGGGUUCAGUUUCCCUUAAGAUCGGCGACGGCACCGCCCGAUUCCGGCGUGCAACCGUGUGCUCGUCUGCUCUCCACCUCGUCAUGCUCGCCUCUGUCCUCACCACCAAUCUCUUCGCACUGUAUGCUUUCACCUACGCACCGAAACCCUCCUCCUCUGCUGUUUUUCACCACGUCAAGAAUUUCUCCGUCAUCUCCGAGCACGUAGCUGCCAUCCUACGGGAGAUCGAUUCCUCCGAGCGCCGCCUCCACCAGAUCGAGCGUGAGCUCUCCGGAUACGAUACCCUCGACCCCUCCCUUCCAUCUCUGCCCUCCGAGCUAAAGCUUUUCCUUACUCGUCACCCUCUUCCACUUGGCCCUGAUUCCCGCUCCAAGAUUACUGAGAUGGUAUCCUCUGUUGCUCACUCCUGUGCUCGUUCUUCCGAGAUCCUUGCCCAGUUUAUGUCCUACAAGCCCAACGCCCUUUGCCCCACCGCCGACUACCAUCUACCCCAGAAGCUUAUCUCCCGCGGUUGUGAGCCCCUUCCUCGCCGCCGCUGCCUGUCACGCACGAAACACCGCCAGCUUCUACCCUUGCCCAAGUCCCUCUGGAAUACCCCUUCAUCCACCGGCGCUGCAGUCGUGGACAAGCAAAUGUGGGUUAAGUCCCGAGGGAAAAACGAUUUUCUGAUUGAUGAGGUGUUGGCUUUGGGCGGCGGUGGCAUACGUAUAGGCUUUGACAUCGCCGGAGGAGCAGGGAAUUUUGCAGCUAGGAUGGCGGAGAGGAAUGUCACUAUAGUAACCUCCACUCUUGAUGUCGGGGGAUCUGUUGGUGAGUUCGUUGCUGCUAGGGGCCUCUUCCCUCUUCAACUCUCUCCGGCACACAGAUUUCCAUUUUAUGAUUCGAUUUUUGAUCUGGUUCACACAAUGAAUGGAUUGGACCAGGGAGGUGUAUCCGGACUAGGGCAGGGGCAGUUGGAGGGCCUAGAAUUCUUGAUGUUUGAUAUAGAUAGGAUUUUGAGAGCUGGGGGUUUGUUCUGGUUGGAUAACUAUGUUUGUGUUGACGAUGAGAGGAAGAGGGUGGUGACAAGGGUUAUCGAGAGGUUUGGGUACAAGAAGCUGAAGUGGGUGGUGGGAGAGAAGGCUGAUUCCAAUAAGACUCAGCUCUACUUGUCGGCAGUGUUACUGAAACCAGCUCGGGGAUGAAUACGAACCUUACCCCUGUAUUUGUGGAGUUGAUCAUGUUCAAAUAUAAACGGGUUAAAGCAAUUGCAGGUGGAAUCAGAGCCCUUAAAAACAUAAGAGACAGCAGAGCUCCUACAGGGUACCCCCAUUCUGUAUUUUACUGUAUCUUGAUUAGUGAUUAUCUUAAAAUUUUUCCAAGCUUGAUUACUUUUGCUUAUUGGGAACUCGUGAUUUAAAAUCUGGGAUCAAGCACAUUCAUUUAAUCCCAGGAACUUUUAU